rnacentral:rRNA from 1 species
AGAGUUUGAUCAUGGCUCAGAUUGAACGCUGGCGGCAGGCCUAACACAUGCAAGUCGAACGGUAACAGGAAACAGCUUGCUGCUUCGCUGACGAGUGGCGGACGGGUGAGUAAUGUCUGGGAAGCUGCCUGAUGGAGGGGGAUAACUACUGGAAACGGUAGCUAAUACCGCAUAAUGUCGCAAGACCAAAGAGGGGGACCUUCGGGCCUCUUGCCAUCGGAUGUGCCCAGAUGGGAUUAGCUUGUUGGUGGGGUAACGGCUCACCAAGGCGACGAUCCCUAGCUGGUCUGAGAGGAUGACCAGCCACACUGGAACUGAGACACGGUCCAGACUCCUACGGGAGGCAGCAGUGGGGAAUAUUGCACAAUGGGCGCAAGCCUGAUGCAGCCAUGCCGCGUGUAUGAAGAAGGCCUUCGGGUUGUAAAGUACUUUCAGCGGGGAGGAAGGGAGUAAAGUUAAUACCUUUGCUCAUUGACGUUACCCGCAGAAGAAGCACCGGCUAACUCCGUGCCAGCAGCCGCGGUAAUACGGAGGGUGCAAGCGUUAAUCGGAAUUACUGGGCGUAAAGCGCACGCAGGCGGUUUGUUAAGUCAGAUGUGAAAUCCCCGGGCUCAACCUGGGAACUGCAUCUGAUACUGGCAAGCUUGAGUCUCGUAGAGGGGGGUAGAAUUCCAGGUGUAGCGGUGAAAUGCGUAGAGAUCUGGAGGAAUACCGGUGGCGAAGGCGGCCCCCUGGACGAAGACUGACGCUCAGGUGCGAAAGCGUGGGGAGCAAACAGGAUUAGAUACCCUGGUAGUCCACGCCGUAAACGAUGUCGACUUGGAGGUUGUGCCCUUGAGGCGUGGCUUCCGGAGCUAACGCGUUAAGUCGACCGCCUGGGGAGUACGGCCGCAAGGUUAAAACUCAAAUGAAUUGACGGGGGCCCGCACAAGCGGUGGAGCAUGUGGUUUAAUUCGAUGCAACGCGAAGAACCUUACCUGGUCUUGACAUCCACGGAAGUUUUCAGAGAUGAGAAUGUGCCUUCGGGAACCGUGAGACAGGUGCUGCAUGGCUGUCGUCAGCUCGUGUUGUGAAUGUUGGGUUAAGUCCCGCAACGAGCGCAACCCUUAUCCUUUGUUGCCAGCGGUCCGGCCGGGAACUCAAAGGAGACUGCCAGUGAUAAACUGGAGGAAGGUGGGGAUGACGUCAAGUCAUCAUGGCCCUUACGACCAGGGCUACACACGUGCUACAAUGGCGCAUACAAAGAGAAGCGACCUCGCGAGAGCAAGCGGACCUCAUAAAGUGCGUCGUAGUCCGGAUUGGAGUCUGCAACUCGACUCCAUGAAGUCGGAAUCGCUAGUAAUCGUGGAUCAGAAUGCCACGGUGAAUACGUUCCCGGGCCUUGUACACACCGCCCGUCACACCAUGGGAGUGGGUUGCAAAAGAAGUAGGUAGCUUAACCUUCGGGAGGGCGCUUACCACUUUGUGAUUCAUGACUGGGGUGAAGUCGUAACAAGGUAACCGUAGGGGAA